AACGCUGGCGGUGUGCUUCACACAUGCAAGUCGAACGAGGUAGCAAUACCUAGUGGCGGACGGGUGAGUAACGCGUGGGAAUCUGCCUUGAGAUGGGGGAUAACGAGCCGAAAGGCUCGCUAAUACCGCAUAUGCCGAAAGGUGAAAGGAGUAAUCCGUCUUAAGAUGAGCCCGCGUCCAAUUAGCUAGUUGGUGGGGUAAAGGCCUACCAAGGCGACGAUCGGUAGCUGGUCUGAGAGGAUGAUCAGCCACAAUGGGACUGAGACACGGCCCAUACUCCUACGGGAGGCAGCAGUGGGGAAUUUUACGCAAUGGGGAAACCCUGACGUAGCGACACCGCGUGAGCGAAGAAGCCCUUUGGGGUGUAAAGCUCUGUCAGCUGGAACGAAAAAAUGACGGUACCAGCAGAGGAAGCAUCGGCUAACUACGUG
rnacentral:rRNA from 1 species